CCGGAAAUGGAACAUCUCGACCCGGUUUGGGAGAACUUCUGGGUUUUGGAAGUAGUGCAAGACCGAGUUCAGGAGCGCGGAGGAAUCCGGUGACCGUGACGGCUUUUUCAGCUCUUCAUCUAAAGCGCAGCCCAACCAUCUGGAGAAACUUUUUAUUUCAAAAUAAAACCCCUGCACGCAUCCAUACAGGCUGCAGAGGUGAGAACAGGAAACGGAGAAGAGCGAUGAAGAGGAGGAGCAGGCCGCUCCCCGCCGAAGCUGCAGGGAGCAGAGAGGCAAUCAUUCACAGACGCCCACGCCUUCUCAAAAGCAGUCAGUUUCCUGUUCCCUUCAAAAAUGAGGGUGACUGGCGCGCUUCCCUCCCACGCCGCUCAGCGGCUGGCUUCUGCCCACUUUUGCCCGUGGAGCCGCCGCCCACCCUCCAGCCGUUGCCCCGGCAACACAACAUCAUCAGUGACUGUGCACUGGAAGGAGAGGAGGAGGAGGGGCUGGAGCCACGGCGUGGGCGUUCAUGAGCGCAGAGAAAAUGUGUCUAGGCCUGUGCACGCGUGUGUGUGUGUGUGUGUGUGUGUGUAUGUGUGUGUGUGUUGGGGUGGAGGAAGAAGAUGAUGGGAGGUUUGUGAAAAAGGACCUGCGUCAGAGUGAGUCAUCAGCCACUUUCACAAUGUGUUGAUGUGACGCUGAUGCAAAUGGCCGGAGAGGCGCAGGGAUUCAUCCGAGGGCGGAAAAAUAUAAAGAAAUAGGAGAUCUUCAUCGCCACCUUCAUCACUCAAACAGCACCACACCGUAGAGUUAAAAAAAAUAAAGUUUAAUGUUCAUGUGCCGUAUAACAAAUAAAAUAUAUUAGUGUUUAAAAACAGGUGCAUAACCAGGUGAAGCCUAAUCUAUCACUGGACGAUAAACGGAUUCCCAGCCUGAUGGCAGACACGUGAACACACCACUGACUUACAUAAAUAUUGCAUCGGGGGCUCCAGGGAGAGCCCAACUAUGAUGGACGAGGGGGUUGUAUUUACAGGAAAGACACGCACAACCACGCUUUCUACUUUUACAUGGUUUCAACAAACGCAGGCUAUAAAGCUCUUUUUUGGUUCUUUUUUUUUUUUUUAGAUAUAGCAAACAUGUUUGUUUUUUCUUCUCUACAACACAGAAACACUGUUUUGACACCAAAAAAUUACAGCUAAAGUUACACCAGACAAGGAAAAAAAAAAAAAAAAGAUCCCCCUGCUGGACAGAUUAGGCUAUCGGUUUGUAUUUACAGGCUGCUUCUCCUUUAUAGUUUCUGCUGGGAGACUCCUCCACCACCACCCUCGCUGGUAGAUGCGUGGUUUCUACUCAACAACAGGUUGUUUUGUUGGUUUGUUUUUUGCUAAAUUACAAAGUGAAAUGAAACGCUUGGCCUCCAGCUUGCCAGGAAUGAACGGCGGAGGUCCCUCGCUGCUACUCCACUGUACAGCCUCGCCGUAAAUUACUUUCCGGAAAUAUACACAGGACAAGAGCUGGAUGGUCGAGGGGGGGGUGGAGGCAAAAAAAAAA